rnacentral:rRNA from 1 species
UACGUAGGGGCCUAGCGUUGUCCGGAUUUAUUGGGCGUAAAGAGCUCGUAGGCGGUCUGUUACGUCUGCUGUGAAAACCCGGGGCUUAACCCUGGGCUUGCAGUGGAUACGGGCAGACUAGAGGCAGGUAGGGGAGAAUGGAAUUCCCGGUGUAGCGGUGAAAUGCGCAGAUAUCGGGAGGAACACCGGUGGCGAAGGCGGUUCUCUGGGCCUGACCUGACGCUGAGGAGCGAAAGCGUGGGGAGCGAACAGG